UAGAAGCAAGAUGGAAUCAGUUAGAUC
rnacentral:piRNA from 1 species